rnacentral:rRNA from 1 species
AGAGUUUGAUCAUGGCUCAGAACGAACGCUGGCGGCAGGCUUAACACAUGCAAGUCGAACGCACCGCAAGGUGAGUGGCAGACGGGUGAGUAACGCGUGGGAACGUGCCCUUCAGUUCGGGAUAACCCAGGGAAACUUGGGCUAAUACCGGAUACGUGCGAGAGCAGAAAGAUUUAUCGCUGAAGGAUCGGCCCGCGUCUGAUUAGCUAGUUGGUGGGGUAAUGGCCCACCAAGGCGACGAUCAGUAGCUGGUCUGAGAGGAUGAUCAGCCACAUUGGGACUGAGACACGGCCCAAACUCCUACGGGAGGCAGCAGUGGGGAAUAUUGGACAAUGGGCGCAAGCCUGAUCCAGCCAUGCCGCGUGAGUGAUGAAGGCCUUAGGGUUGUAAAGCUCUUUCGUCCGGGACGAUAAUGACGGUACCGGAAGAAGAAGCCCCGGCUAACUUCGUGCCAGCAGCCGCGGUAAUACGAAGGGGGCUAGCGUUGUUCGGAAUCACUGGGCGUAAAGGGCGCGUAGGCGGCCUGAUAAGUCGGGGGUGAAAGCCUGUGGCUCAACCACAGAAUUGCCUUCGAUACUGUCGAGCUUGAGACCGGAAGAGGUAAGUGGAACUGCGAGUGUAGAGGUGAAAUUCGUAGAUAUUCGCAAGAACACCAGUGGCGAAGGCGGCUUACUGGUCCGGUUCUGACGCUGAGGCGCGAAAGCGUGGGGAGCAAACAGGAUUAGAUACCCUAGUAGUCC